rnacentral:tRNA from 1 species
GUGGCCAUAGCUCAGUAGGUAGAGCGUCGGGUUGUGGUCCCGAAUGUCGCGGGUUCAAAUCCCGUUGGUCACC